GACGAACGCUGGCGGCGUGCUUAACACAUGCAAGUCGAGCGGUAAGGCCCUUUCGGGGGUACGACGAGCGGCGAACGGGUGAGUAACACGUGGGUGACCUGCCCUCAGCUCUGGGAUAAGCCUGGGAAACCGGGUCUAAUACUGGAUAUGACUCCAUGACGCAUGUUGGUGGGGUGGAAAGCCUUGUGCGGCUGAGGAUGGGCCCGCGGCCUAU
rnacentral:rRNA from 1 species